GCACUACUCGCCACUCCACCAGAACCGUAGCUCCCUCUUCGCUGUGUGCUCACCGUUCCUCUUCCUCGCUCAACACUCACCACUCACCACUCACCACUCGAGAACCAUUGCUCCUCUUCGGUGCGUGCUUACAUCGGGAAGACUCUGUGGUCAGCAUCGUCGUCCCUUCGCUCACCAUUGUUGAGAAGGUGAAAUCGUACCCAACACUCCAUUCAAACAGGUGAGCUUGGCCACCACCAACCUUGCCCCGGGUUUCAGGAAGUUCUUAACUGGGGUCUGUUGCCACAACAAACAAUACAUCUGUCUUGUCCCUCACAUUUUAUUCAUCAUGAAUGAGGGGAUGCGUUACUAAGAUUUUUACCAAAACUUAGUUACCAGUUGAAGCCUUUCAGAGCCAUAUUCCAGUGAUUUUUUUUCUUCUCCUUGGCUUCCGCAACAUUCCUAAAAGACUAAAGCCUCUUCUUCACAGCACAGGUGUUGAGCUUUCAUAUGAUAAAGUGGUUGAAACAAAAGUUUCUGAGCCUUGAGAAGGAAGAAUAGCAAUAGCAGAAACAAUCUAUUCUGGCAGAGUCUGAAUUGUAUUGCUGUCACACCUCGGGAACAAUUUUGUUAAUAAUUUCUACUUAGUGUUAGUGUGUAUAUCACUGUAUAAAACUAAGAUUGAGACAAGUGUAUUCACUUAACUAUAUUGAUAUGUUAGUUGGUUA